rnacentral:ncRNA from 1 species
UUGCCAUCCAGAGCGACCGAGAGACCUGGCUCGUUGACGUCGCAGCAACCCUCCGGACUUCGCGCAUUCGCCGCGGGGAUUCGGGUGCGGGUGCUACCGCCGGGAUCGAUGGGAA